UACGUAGGUGGCGAGCGUUGUCCGGAUUUACUGGGCGUAAAGGGCGUGCAGGCGGUUUGUUAAGUGCAGGGUGAAAGCUCCCGGCUCAACUGGGAGAGGUCCUUGCAUACUGGCGAACUCGAGGGAGGCAGAGGAAAGUGGAAUUCCCGGUGUAGUGGUGAUAUGCGCAGAUAUCAGGAAGAACACCUAUGGCGAAGGCAGCUCUCUGGGACGGUACUGACGCUGAGACGCGAAAGCGUGGGGAGCGAACAGG
rnacentral:rRNA from 1 species